UACAGAGGGGGCGAGCGUUGUUCGGAAUUACUGGGCGUAAAGGGCGCGUAGGCGGCCUGCUAAGUCGAACGUGAAAUCCCCGGGCUCAACCCGGGAACUGCGUCCGAUACUGGUUGGCUUGAAUCCGGGAGAGGGAUGCGGAAUUCCAGGUGUAGCGGUGAAAUGCGUAGAUAUCUGGAGGAACACCGGUGGCGAAGGCGGCAUCCUGGACCGGCAUUGACGCUGAGGCGCGAAAGCCAGGGGAGCAAACGGG
rnacentral:rRNA from 1 species